CAUGUUCUUCCUGCUAGUCUGGAACCACUGGGAUUGGGAACGGAUGGAGGGAUUCGGAUUAUCGCAGCGUCAGUAAAGUCCUGACGCUUGGCAAGUGUGGUUGUGUCUCGCUGUGAGUGCUCGCCGGAUGACUUGGUUCGCUGCUCGUGUACAUUUGGACUGGUUCAAAUAUUAUUUUACGAAAUGGAUCUAAGUUUUAAAUAUGCUCUGGUAAUACGUAUUUAAAAACCUGUGGAAUUUGAACCAGCUUGUUCGUGACCUGUGUCUGCAAGUUACCAAGCCUGUCCUGAUUGCUAGGUCACUGAUAGUUACCGGGUGCCGAAUAAGCUGAAGGAUUGUACGCCUCAUUUGCUGGUCAUCCUGAUAGACCUUCCGCACGACAUCUGCCACAGCCGCGUCUGGGUCUACGUUGUCUGCUCCACUUCGACUGAAAUUUUGUCACGCCGAGUGUUCCACUAAGCGAAAUUUUUCCCUUCGGUUUGAAAUCGUUGAUGAGCCAGAGCAAAUUUCCUGGCCCAGGAUUCAGCAAUUCUAGUGUUGUGUUACCUGUUGACUAUUGGUGGUGUUUCUUCAAGUUCUCAAGAAAUUUGUCGAACUCAUUCGGUUGCAUUAACAACUGUUUCUACGAAAAAACUUUACUUCCUGUUGUCGUUCAUUUAACAAAUUCCAAUUUUAGUCAGCAGCAUUAAUGCCCUUAGCAAUGGCCUGAAAUUCUUGCCAUCAAAGUUGAAAUUCAUUGCGUGUGUUAAAAUGCAAAUUAUUUAAUUUUUGGUGGGCCGUAUUUAUUAUUUCAGUC